CGUCUUCUCAACGAUAAGGCCUAGACCAGACGGUCUUAUAAGGGGUGCCAACAGCAGCUCUGGCACAGUCGGAGUCGAUUGGUCGGGCACUACCCAGCAGGACUUUCGUACAGUGGAAAUUGGUUACGUUUGGAUUGUACCCUAAACCUAAACAGACCUCAGUCAAAUACUGUCUUCUGUCAGUGAGUGGAGAGUCAGUCUGUCGGCAUUCCAGUCCCAGGGUAGCCAAUAUCACCACACAAACCGCCACAGGAACCAGGAAAGGGUCAGACCUUGUGGAGAUAAGCAGUAAGAGGUCGAACAACCAGUGAUCACGAGGGACUACACACAGGCAGCACAAGUACAUAAUUGUGAGUGAGACUUGGGUCUGUUUGGACUGUACCCAUACCCAACCAGCCGUCAAUCAAGCAGCACGUCCUGUCAGUCGGUGGCCGGUCAGUUUUCCGUCUGUCCAGUCGGGAGUAGACAACGCCAACUUCACACCCCACAGCAGAAACCAACCGACGGUCACAUCCUCUGGGACAUUAGCAGUCGCGAGGGCGACCAACCAGCGACUACGCAGAGGCAGCGCAAAUACAUCCGAGAGGCCGAAGCUCCCAGCUGAAAGAUGGCGGAGUUCUGGCAGCAGGUCGGGCAGCUGGUCUUGAACCAGGUGAUGAACGACAUGGCGGAAUGUGCGUUCCGGAGCAUGGACUCUGACCAGGCCCGGGUGUGCAGGCUGCUCUGGAAACUCAGGACUACGGCCACCAGGAUAACUAUCACCGGGAAGCAGGUCGAAUUCUUCUUUAAACAGUUGUCUCGUUUCUUAGAAAACGACGAGCCCGACUUGGAGCAGGGACUCCAGAUGAUCGUCCAGUCGGUGGUGGUGGCGAGAAAUAUUUUUGAGGGCUACGAAGAGGUUCAGGACCUGAUAGAUGAAAUUAAGCGAGAGUGGGACCGUUACAAAGCUAGAAACAUGCUUAAGUGGGAUUAGUGAAAACUAAAAUCU